rnacentral:lncRNA from 1 species
GCACAUGGGAGAGCAACCAGAUUUUCCUGAGGACCGAAGGAUUUUUGCUUCCGCUAAACUUGCAACAAAAACUAGUUCCUCGACACGGUCGGACUUAGGUUUAAUAUCUCUUUCAGCAAUCGACUUACGGAAGCCUUUACAUCUUCAGGUAUUAUAAGUUGUUCUGGUAUAGCUUCUAAGGCGUAUUGAGUAGUAACUUGCAAAACAACCCCUAAAUUCAAAUUCUUGGUGUCCUCAUUCCAAACACCUUGAUUGACGUACUUGCAUGAUUGUCUCAAGAUGCAUUUGUGACAGACCUGCAGAUAAUUUGAAGAGGAAGAAAAUAAGCCAAAGAAUUCUACUAAAAAUUAGUUGGUAAUGGAAGGAACAAGGUAAUAUUGGUUUUUCUUACUGUGUCUUCUUGGAUUCUAAAGAAUUUUCGCAAUCUUUUAGCCGCAAAAACAUCUUUUCUUGCAGUGGAUGGACAUCCAAAGAAGGCAACCUUUCUCAAGUCACUGCCAGACAACCAUCUGAAAAUCCCAAGACUCAGAAUUCAAGACGUGAAACAAUAGGGGCAUCUUCAUAAAGAAACACAACUGCCACAACCACAAAGAUGAAGUACAAAAAAUUAUUUCUUUUGGAAUCAGAAUGUUAGAUUUUGUAACUUAUUAGGAAUAUUACACUUUUAUGUUCACUACACUUAAAAAUCUGACACAUUAAUGUCUUGUACAAUCUUGAAAUUAUCAGUCCCAGAAGGAUUCAAGCAAUUAUCAAGCAGCAGAUAGAAAAAUGAAAAGCAGAGAGAUUAGCUAGGAAAGAGUAAAUUGAAGACCAAGAUAGGUCGGUUUAGGUCAGUUAUGUCUUAGAUGGAUAACUAUUUAGUCAAGGGUUACUAAUGCUAAAACUAAUUAAACAAUAUGGGUUGGUAAAUGGAUAUCUUUUUUAGUUCAACAAUGAUAGGGGUGGGAGAUGGAACCAUUAAAAUUGCUCACUAAGUUGAAUAUCAACACAAAACCGACCUGUACAAUUACUUUUGAAAGAUGAACCAAUCGAGCCAAGCAAAAACAACUUGUUAGGGAAUAAUAGCAGCAGAUAUUCUAAUAUUUGAGUUAUGGAAAAUCAAACUUCCAACUUUGACCAUAGUCCUUUCAAAAGUGAAAAAGAAUAUCUUUUCAUAGCUUUCAUACCCAUAAUAUGAAACUAAUGCUUCGAAAAUGAAAACUCCUAUUAAAAAAAUUAAUGCAUCUAAAAAUGAUCCAAACUAUCAUUUUUACAUUUAUGAUACUAAAUGUAGUUAGUUAGAGUAAUCUAACCCCAACAGAGAAUGACCUCAAUUUCUUCUUUGUCUUAAUUACCACCGCAAAAUGCAUAGAGCAUGUUUUGAAAAACCUCAAUACUAGAAUUAAGUAUAGUUUCCCCAUGUCAAUACACAAGCCAAAUCAUGGAACUGAUUCAAAGUAAAAAACAAAAAUAAUUUUCCUUGUUCCAUUCUUCCACACACAAUAUAUCCAAAUCUCACAGCACUUCAUACUCUAUAAAUGAAAUCGUCAUUAGCAAAAGAUUAAAGCUAUCCACUUCAUCAGACAUGAUGAUCUCACACCAAUUCUCAAAAAA